UUACAUUUUUCUCCGUCUGAGCAGGGAAGUGUUGAGGUGGUGUAACCAGAGUGUGAAGUACAGAAGUUUGUCUGGUCGCUGCAACAAUCUUUGGUACCCAGAGUAUGGUACCAGUGGUCAAGUUCUUACUAGACUACUGAAUCCUGUCUAUGAUGGAGAGAUGAUGAGGACGAGGUCAGUACACGGUGACCUGCUGCCCAACCCUCGGGUCAUCAGUCUCCUGGCAAGUCUCGUGCCUUCUGCUGCUCACACUCGACACAAUCUCCUGUUUAUGCAGAUGGGUCAGUUUAUUGACCAUGACUACUCUAUCACCACUGUCAGCAAAGAUGACAACGGAAAGACAAUGAAUUGUUUGAGGUGUACGUCGUGGACUGACCCGCGAUGCGCUCCUGUCCUUGCCUCACAAUGACCCUUAUUACCUUCUCGCUUUA